rnacentral:lncRNA from 1 species
ACUAUGCGAACAGCUGUGAUAGCUAGGUAUUCCUUCUUAAUCAUCAGUUAUUUUAUUUUUCAAUUCCUACGAAUGUAUUUAUUUAAUAUUAGUUUAAAAAAUUUAAUUUAACUAAAAAUGAAGGUUUUGAAAUUGUUGCAUUCACGAGGAAGGAGAAAGUAUGCAAAUCCUUUCACGUCCUGGGGCCCAUCAGGCUCACCCUUGUUCCAUUUGUCCAAAUAACCUUUUCGGCCGCA